GACGAACGCUGGCGGCGUGCCUAACACAUGCAAGUCGAACGGAGAUACGAUUUCGGUUGUAUCUUAGUGGCGAACGGGUGAGUAACGCGUGAGCAACCUGACUCUUAGAGGGGGAUAACACUCGGAAACGGGUGCUAAUACCGCAUAAGACCACGACAUGGCAUCAUGACGAGGUCAAAGGAGCAAUCCGCUGAGAGAGGGGCUCGCGUCCCAUUAGAUAGAUGGCGGGGUAACGGCCCACCAUGUCGACGAUGGGUAGCCGAGCUGAGAGGCUGAUCGGACACACUGGAGCUGAGACACGGUCCAGACUCCUACGGGAGGCAGCAGUGGGGAAUAUUGGGCAAUGGGCGCAAGCCUGACCCAGCAACGCCGCGUGAGGGAAGAAGGCUUUCGGGUUGUAAACCUCUGUCCUUGGUGACGAAACAAAUGACGGUAGCCAAGGAGGAAGCCCCGGCUAACUACGUGCCAGCCGCCGCUGUAA
rnacentral:rRNA from 1 species